AUCUCUGUGAUGCAAUUGGUUAGUGCAUUCGACUGUUAACCAAACAUUGGUGGUUUAAGCCCACCCAGGGAUG
rnacentral:tRNA from 1 species